UCGGCCUCCCAAAGUGCUGGGAUUACAGGCUUGAGCCACCGCGCCCGGCCUACUGUGUAUUUCUUUUGUGCCAGACUUCUCAGUAUCAUUUUGAUCUGUAAAACAUCAACGUUUCCUGUAUUGUAUUAUAUUUAAAUCUUUGGAGAGUCUAGACACAAAGAAAUUUUUAUUUUAAAGAGUAAUGAAUAAUAAAAAACCACAAAAUCUUUAUUGUAAUAUUUGGGAUUAUGAUUGGCUGCAGGGAAAAAAAGCACAAAGCAGAUGACACAUAGAAGACAUAUAACAUAAAUGUUUGACUUUGAUAUCCCCAGAAGGUAUAUCUCAGACAUUAAAAAAGACAGGAGGCUAAAAAUUGUAACACACAAACAAAAAUCAUUUCUCUAAUUUUUGAAUUAUGUGUCCAAAGAAAAAAAUUAAAACUUCAACCACCCAUUGGUGUGAGAAUUGUUAAGAAAAAAAAUUCUAGCUUUCCACAGAUCCAUUUGGCUCUCCUGUAAAGACUGAAAUCUGAGAAUGUUAACAACAGGUUAUCACUGAGGACAAUUAUUGCACCUGAGAAGGAAAGAAAAAGAUAUGCUUUAUUCCAUUGCAGACACUGAAUGGAGAGCUCUGAGCAUCAUAGGUAAACCAACUCUGUAUCACUUUGAAAUACAUAUUUGAGGCUGCUGCAUGCAGCUCUCCCGAUAGCCGCGGUCAUUGGUGCCAAUGCUCAGGCGCCCGCUGCCCUUGACCUCCGGCCCCCCAAGCCCUAACCCAGCACAGUAGGACCAGCCACUGCCGCCAGGCUCUGAUGCUGGUCUCUGGUAGAAGAAGGUUGCUCACAGCUCUGCUGCAGGCUCAGAAGUGGCCCUUUCAACCCUCCAGAGACAUAAGACUAGUGCAGUUCCAGGCACCCCACCUGGUGGGGCCUCACUUUGGCCUGGAGACGGGGAAUGGUGGAGGGGUUAUCAACCGCAAUGCCUUUGACUCUAUGCUCCCCAAGAUGAUGACACAGUUCCUAGAGCAGGGAGAGGCCACCCUCUCAGUGGCAAGAAGAGCCUUGGGUACCCAGUUGCCAGUCCUAUCACGGUUGGAAGUAACCUUCCUGGCUCCAGCCACGUGGCCAGAUAAGGUGCUUUGUGUGGGCAUGAAUUAUGUGGACCACUGCAAAGAACAGAACAUGCCUGUGCCCAUGGAACCCAUUAUCUUCAGCAAGUUUGCCAACUCCAUCGUGGAGUCCUAUGAUGAGAUGGUCCUCCCACUGGAGAGCCAGGACGUAGACUGGGAAGUGGAGUGGCCGCGGUCACUGGAAAGAAAGGCAAGCACGUCAAGGCCACAGAUGCCAUGGCCCAUGUGGCUGGCUUCACUAUGGCUAAUGACGUGAGUGCUCAUGACUGGCAAAUGAGACAUAAGGGGCAACAGUGGCUGCUGGGAAAAACCUUCGACACCUUCUGCCCUCUGGGCCCGGCCUUGGUAACCAAGGACAGUGUAGCAGAUCCACAUAACUUAAAGAUCUGCUGCCAAGUGAACGGGGAAGUGGUCCAGAGCAGCAACACUAACCAGAUGGUGGUUAAGACAGAGGAGCUGACAGCCUGGGUCUCCCAGUUUGUCACCUUUUACCCAGGGGAUGUCAUCCUGACUGGGACCUCCCCAGGUGUCGUUGUAUUCAGGAAACCUCCUGUCCUUCUCAAGAAGGGGGAUAAAGUCCAGUGUGAGACUGAAGAACUAGGUGUCGUCAUCAGCUAGGUGGUGUGA